rnacentral:lncRNA from 1 species
AUGAGGUUAUGCAAUGCCGAGGGGUUAAUAGAUGGGAAAUGAUGGGAAUCACCUCUUCAAUUCCAGCAGAUUGGGGAAUUGAGCAGGGAAUUGGGUCAGAGGAGAUGAGAGAGGGGAGAAAGACAUGGAGGAGGAGUGGAGAAGAAGAAGGAAGAGAAGAGAGAGUUGGGGAGAGUUUGGGAUUUUUUUAUUAUCAAUUUGCUUGAGGAUUACAAGUAUA